rfam:Ovis aries breed Texel chromosome 15, whole genome shotgun sequence.
UCCCUUGUGGCUCAGCUGGUAAAGAAUCUGCCUGCAAUGCAGGAGACCUAGGUUUGAUCCCUGGGUUGGGAA